UUGGGGGGGAAAUAGGAUAGACACCGACUGGAAGGACAUCUCCCUUUCUUCCUGACAGUCUGACAGUUAAAUAUAGCUAUGAACGUCCAGUCACAGCAAGGUGUACAAUUCUUCCCUCACGUCUCCUUCACGGCAGCCCAGGAGGAGAGCGAGGGAUAAAGAGUAAUGGGUAUGACUGGAAGGAAGCCGGAGCCAUGGUGGCGCAGGUACCCUUGAAAGAAGGAACAGAGGGACAGGCUCACUUGCUUUGCCACAGCUAUCUCCCCUUCCAAGAAACUAAAAGGAAGAAGGGAGAAGGAAGUUACUUCUUCCCACCUUGCUUCCUGUUGCUGUCAACGUCACUCCAGAAUUGGUUCUUCAUGCCGCAGCUGGUUUCAUGCCAACAGGAUCUUCCACACCCUCAGAAUCAGCUUGGCUGCACCCCUGGGAGAAGCCAGCUCCAGCCUGCAGCCUCCCUGUUCCCAGGUGUGGGUCCCUGUUCCAUAGGUCUCCUCCUGCAAACUUUUCAAAUCUGGUAAUCCCACCCACUUCCCUCAUUCCCAGGGGUGGGAGCUGCUUCCUUGUUUACUGCCCCUGUGAGGGGCGCCUGGGUGGCUCAGUCGGUUAAGCACCUGCCCUCAGCUCAGGUCAUGACCCCAGGAU